rnacentral:ncRNA from 2 species
AUGAUCCCCAUGGGAGAGACCGGCCCAUCCGUGGGGUCGGCGCCGAAGGAGCAACCGCCUCCGGAAACUCUCAGGCACCCAGGACCGUGGGGGGACG